UACGGAGGGUGCAAGCGUUAUCCGGAUUUACUGGGUUUAAAGGGUGCGUAGGUGGGCAGUUAAGUCAGCGGUGAAAUCUCUGGGCUUAACCCAGAAACUGCCAUUGAUACUAUCUGUCUUGAAUAUCCUGGAGGUGAGCGGAAUAUGUCAUGUAGCGGUGAAAUGCUUAGAUAUGACAUAGAAACACCAAUUGCGAAGGCAGCUCACUACGGGGGUUAUUGACACUGAGGCACGAAAGCGUGGGGAUCAAACAGG
rnacentral:rRNA from 1 species